rnacentral:rRNA from 1 species
UACGUAGGGGGCAAGCGUUGUCCGGAAUUAUUGGGCGUAAAGCGCGCGCAGGCGGUUUCUUCAGUCUGAUGUGAAAGCCCCCGGCUCAACCGGGGAGGGUCAUUGGAAACUGGGAAACUUGAGUGCAGAAGAGGAAAGUGGAAUUCCCGGUGUAGCGGUGAAAUGCGCAGAUAUCGGGAAGAACACCCGUGGCGAAGGCGGCUCUCUGGGACGGUACUGACGCUGAGACGCGAAAGCGUGGGGAGCGAACAGG